rnacentral:rRNA from 1 species
AUACGGAGGGUGCAAGCGUUAUCCGGAUUUAUUAGGUUUAAAGGGUCCGUAGGCGGGGAUUUAAGUCAGUGGUGAAAGCCAGCAGCUCAACUGUAGAACAGCCAUUGAUACUGAAUUUCUUGAAUUUGAUUGAGGUAGGCGGAAUGAGAAGUGUAGCGGUGAAAUGCGUAGAUAUUUCUCAGAACACCAAUUGCGAAGGCAGCUUACUAAGUCAAUAUUGACGCUGAUGGGCGAAAGCGUGGGGAGCGAACAGGAUUAGAAACCCUAGUAGUCC